UACGAAGGGGGCUAGCGUUGUUCGGAAUUACUGGGCGUAAAGCGCACGUAGGCGGACUAUUAAGUCAGGGGUGAAAUCCCGGGGCUCAACCCCGGAACUGCCUUUGAUACUGGUAGUCUCGAGUCCGGAAGAGGUGAGUGGAAUUCCGAGUGUAGAGGUGAAAUUCGUAGAUAUUGGGAAGAACACCGGUGGCGAAGGCGGCGACCUGGUCCGAUACUGACGCUGAGGCGCGAAAGCGUGGGGAGCAAACAGG
rnacentral:rRNA from 1 species